UAUUGACCAAACUACGGUCGCGCACGGCUUUUAUGCCAAUACAAAUGUGGUUUUUAUUGAGUUGAAAAUCCAAUUUCAUACACAAAACCUUCGGCGUAGGUACGUAUAUUGCAGUGUUGUUUUUAGCGUUUUACAUCAUCAUCGUAUUGAGUUUUUCGUCGGCUGUUAUUCGUUGCGCGGUGCCUUCGCCGCGGUGGAGGCGUGUUAUGGUUUAAAUAAAAACGUAUUUACGUGUUAAAUCUGGGUCGAGACCCAUUGAACUGUAAACAUCUAAAAAGCUAAUGAUCCCUGAACAGACCGAGUCCGCUGUAUAUAAUUUUAUUUAGAUUAAAUCGCGUUCGUUUAAAAAAAAUGUUUAAACCAUUUAUACAAAAUUUGAAAGAAACAAAAAAAAAAAAAAAAACGCGCAAUGAUCACUGCACGGGAUCGCUAAAGCGUGUAACGAUUCGCUAUCCUAAUGCCGGACUGUUUAAAGUUUAAUUAAACCAUUUCAGAUCUAAUAUUCAUUAAAGUGGUUCUCUAAAUUGGAGCUAUUCAAUUCACUAAAUUAAAGUAAAGGCCCGGUUCAUUAGAAAUUUAAACAUAGGUUUAUCCACGGACCUGGUAUUAUAAAAGCUUUACGGGUUUAUCACAAAUUUAUACGUUUCGCAUGACGAUUCAACAAUCGAAUGUUCGAUAUACGUAUUUGCGUAUUUGGAAUUUGUUAAUUGUAAAUUAUUUUCAAAUAAAACUACGAUUAUUAAUACGCGCGUUAUCGUUUUUUCCCGGCGGUUAUUCUUGUUCCGUGACCGAAUCCCAAUGACCCUCUGAAAUCAACGAGUAGCGCGAUAAAUUCUGGCAUUCUAUACAUUAAAUGAUAGGUUUUACGUAACCCGGUAUGAAAAAAAAAAAACAUUGUGUAGUUGAGAACAUACGGGUGUAGCCGUGUUGCGUUUUGUAUAAUAGGUGUAAUAUGCGGCCAACGGUUAUAACGGAAAUCACUCGAAUUUUUUUUUUAAAUAUUCCAGUUUGGUAAUUUUCUCGUUAAAGUCAAUCGUUUAAAUAUAGAGGUACCUUAUUAUAGCAUAAAUUAAAAGCGUGCUGGAACGCUCGUGUCGCGUGAAACCGUAUAAUUUUGUAAAAAAAAAAAAAAAUGAAACGCGGGCGCCGGACACACGUCAUUUGUAUACGCGCGUUUUUAGAUAAAAAUAAUAAAAAAAAAAAAAUGUAUAUAAUAACGAUAAAGUUUAAUAUCAGGUAUACUGCGUCCGGUAAAGUAUACACAAUAUUACGGUAGUGAUUAAAUUACGGAG